rnacentral:rRNA from 1 species
GACGAACCGUCCAAACGUUAUUCGGAAUCACUGGGCUUACGGAGUUCGUAGGCGGUCUGGAAAGUUGGGUGUGGAAUCCCUCGGCCUAACCGAGGAACUGCGCUUGAAACUUCCAGACUCGAGGGAGAUAGAGGAAAGCGGAACUGAUGGUGGAGCGGUGAAAUGCGUUGAUAUCAUCAGGAACACCGGUGGCGAAGGCGGCUUUCUGGGUCUUACCUGACGCUGAGGAACGAAAGCCAGGGGAGCGAACGGG